CUACAAGUACAUGUUAAGACAGUAUAUUGGAACAAUACAGGGCAGAUUAGCAUUGUUCAUGUGCAAAGAAGACACUCAAAAUCAUAAAGCUAUCAAACUGUUU